AGAGUUUGAUCCUGGCUCAGAUUGAACGCUGGCGGCAUGCCUUACACAUGCAAGUCGAACGGCAGCGGGGGAGAAGCUUGCUUCUCCUGCCGGCGAGUGGCGAACGGGUGAGUAAUACAUCGGAACGUGCCCUGUAGUGGGGGAUAACUAGUCGAAAGAUUAGCUAAUACCGCAUACGACCUGAGGGUGAAAGUGGGGGACCGCAAGGCCUCAUGCUAUAGGAGCGGCCGAUGUCUGAUUAGCUAGUUGGUGAGGUAAAGGCUCACCAAGGCGACGAUCAGUAGCUGGUCUGAGAGGACGAUCAGCCACACUGGGACUGAGACACGGCCCAGACUCCUACGGGAGGCAGCAGUGGGGAAUUUUGGACAAUGGGCGAAAGCCUGAUCCAGCAAUGCCGCGUGUGUGAAGAAGGCCUUCGGGUUGUAAAGCACUUUUGUCCGGAAAGAAAUGGCUCUGGUUAAUACCUGGGGUCGAUGACGGUACCGGAAGAAUAAGGACCGGCUAACUACGUGCCAGCAGCCGCGGUAAUACGUAGGGUCCAAGCGUUAAUCGGAAUUACUGGGCGUAAAGCGUGCGCAGGCGGUUGUGCAAGACCGAUGUGAAAUCCCCGAGCUUAACUUGGGAAUUGCAUUGGUGACUGCACGGCUAGAGUGUGUCAGAGGGGGGUAGAAUUCCACGUGUAGCAGUGAAAUGCGUAGAGAUGUGGAGGAAUACCGAUGGCGAAGGCAGCCCCCUGGGAUAACACUGACGCUCAUGCACGAAAGCGUGGGGAGCAAACAGGAUUAGAUACCCUGGUAGUCCACGCCCUAAACGAUGUCAACUAGUUGUUGGGGAUUCAUUUCCUUAGUAACGUAGCUAACGCGUGAAGUUGACCGCCUGGGGAGUACGGUCGCAAGAUUAAAACUCAAAGGAAUUGA
rnacentral:rRNA from 1 species